rnacentral:lncRNA from 1 species
UCGACGAUAAGCGUAGAGUUGCCUAUUUCAAGAGUUACCUUGCCAAUGUCGCGGAGUCUAUCAAGUGAGCCAACAUUAGGAAACAAAUAAUUAGGUAGCAAUAAAGUAAUUAGUUUUGUUAAUUACGAAAACUGAAACAGAGACGGAGUGGACAUAAAGGGAUACUUCGCAUGGUCGUUGCUGGACAACUUCGAAUGGGUGCAAGGUUUCACCAAGAGAUUUGGUUUGGUAUAUGUAGACUACAAGAAUGGUUUAACCCGUCACCCAAAAUCUUCUGCCUAUUGGUUCAUGAAGUUUCUUAAAGGUGAUGAAGACAACAAAGGUAAAAAGGAAUGGAAAACAGAGAAAGGAAAUCCAAAGCUACUAUAACAUUUACACGAUUUGCGCUGUGUUAUUAUAAAUUUGUACCAAGGAGAUUAGUCGAUGAUGGUGGUGGUAUAAAAUCAUUACAAAACAAAUCACUUAUGCCAUUCUUUGGUUUAAAGCUUGUACUAGAUUUUGAUCCGUGCAACCGCGCGUGAUUAUUUAUAUAUGUAUUUAUAAUUUUAUCAUCAUUUAUAUUUAUAAUUUAUGUUUCAAAAUUAACUUUUUUUUGGUUUGAUGAUAUUUUGUAAACUUCGGUUUACGUCGAGGUUGUACUCUUGAUUUUCCGGUUUGGUUGUGGAUUUUGAUUUUUGAUUCUAAAAGUAUAGUAAUGGUUUGAUUAUAUAUAAAUUUGAGUUUGGUUUGUUUUGGGUUUUGUUAUUUUAGUUUUUGGCUUUGUUUAAAUAACAAUGUUAGAAAUCCAAAAUUUUGAGUUUAGUUCAAGCGCAUGGAUCUGAUCAUCUGAAUUUAGAUAUGAAAUUAUGUAAAAUAAAUUAUAAGAAUAUUCUUCAAAUCAUUAAACUAAAUAUAUGUUGAACAAUACAAAACUUAUUUAUUAUAUUUUCAGUUUAAACAAUAUUGUAGGUUGACUAUGUAAAAUAUAUAUCAUUUUGAUUUACAUGGAAAGUUUUUCAAAAUAUAUGGUUACAUAUGUUUAUAAUAUAACAAAAAUAUCUUUUGUUUUCAGAAUUUAAACAAACAAUGCACGAAUUUAAAAUUGUGAAAUUUAUAGUAUAACAAUAAUCAGCGAUUUAUUCAUCUUUUAAUUUAGAAUGAUAUGCCAAAUGAAUUUUUUCUAUUCAGAAUAAAGAUUUAUUUUGUUCAUUCUGAAUUUAAAAAUUGAAAGCUGAUAUAUAAUUUAUCUAAUAUAAAAUUGAAAUGUGUAUAAAAUGUGCUGGAAAAUCUAUGGACGAUAUAUAGUACAUGUUAAUAGUCAUGGUUUUGGUAUGAAACGUAUUAUUUAAGUAUAUAUAGUUUCUUUUACUAAGUUAUAGCAAUUAUAUUAUAAGAUUCAAAAGGUAUGUCACGUUUGGAACGUUAAGAAGGUUAAAUAAUAUUAGUGAGGUAGGAUAGGAGGGUUACAAAAUACACGGGGAAAUUAGGAGUAGAUACUACUGAAUAUAUAUAGUCAUCUAUAAUAUUAAAAUUAUGUAAGGGUGAAUAUAUAAGAAUAUGGUAGGUGAUUCCACAUUUAUCAAACUUCGUUUCUAUAGCAAUAUAAACCUUUGUUUUAAAAUUUCUAUAUGUAAGCGAAAUUUAAAUAAUAACUAGAUCUCGAUCCGCGCUAUCGCGCGGAUUUUUGUUUUCAUUUAUUUUUAUAUAAAUAUUUUAUUUUCAAUUCUAAAUUGGUAUAUAUUAUAAUAUAUAUGUGUCUAUAAAUUUUAAAGCAUAAUAAGUUUAUGGUAUAUUUUUUUCAUUGAAUAGAUUGUUUCAAACUUUCACAUGUAUUUGUAUUUUUUUUAUAUAUAUAUAUUUUGGAUUAUUAUUUCAUUAUUAAAAUCAUAACUAUAUAUAUAAAUAUUAUUAAAAUAUUGUUUUAUUAUCAUAUUCAAAAGAUAUUGUAACAUUACACAAAUUUAGAAAGUUUUUUAAAAAAUUAAACUUUUCGCUUCAUAAAUUUAUAUUAUCAAGUAAAUAAUUAAACAUUUGGUUUUUGUUUAAUUUUUAAAAUAAACUAUAUAGUUUAAAAAAAAAUUCAUUGGUUUAAGGUAAUAAAGAUUAAUAAUUGUUAGAUAAUAUGAUUUUUGUUAUUUAAAAUUUUUUUUUAUAAUUUUAAAAGUUAACAUCGACAAAUAUUUAAAUAUUUAACAUAUGGAGGUAUAGUAUUACAAGAUUAAAUUAUAUAUAUUUAAUUUAUACUAUCUAUAAAUUCAAUGGAUCAUCUAUUGUUUAAAUCUAAAUAUUGACAACCCAAUAAAAAAUUCUAGUAGGUCCAAAAUUUAAAUGAUAAUAUUAGAGAUUAAAUGCAACAUGAUUUUUUAGGAAUAUGUCUAUUAGGUCCAUUUUUUUUAAAUCACACAUGAAUCAAGGAUGUGACUUCUGUUUUAAUAUAUAAGACAAUAUUCAAGGAGGUAGUUAUGCGAUAAUAUUUUAGUUUCCAAAUAUUAUCUUACUUAGAUUGAGUUAUUUUAAGUAGGUCCAUAAUUUAAAUGACUUAAUAAUAUUAAGUCACAACAUAUUUAAUAAGUCCAAAUUUAAAAUAUGGCAAGGCAAAUUUUAUAUAAGACUCUAUUUUAAUAGAGUAGAUUUUGACUAAAGAUAUUUACUAAACGUGGCUUUCUAUGGAUUUUGCCAUGGAUAUUAUAGUUACAGAAUAUUCAUGGUCUAUACAUUUAUGUGGAAAUCAGAUUAAAUAAUUCCAUAUAGUUACAGGAUAUUCAUGGUCUAUAGAUUUAUCUGGAAAUCAAACUAGAUAAUUCCAUAUGAUACACGUUCAUGGCAUGUUUUUGUCGGCCAUUUUAAAUUGUCAUACUUUUAAUUGAAAAUACACUUAAUUAAAAACGUUAUAAUUUCAUUGAAAAUACACAUAAAAUACACGUUCAUGGCUCCUUUCUUUCCUCUCAACGGUCAGAACCAAAGGGUGAAGCUUCAGUUACCUUUUAUUCACCAUCCGGCUUACUCGGGUAAACUUCUUUUACCUCGGUCGAGGUUUGGUCGAGCCAGACCUGUACGGCAUGUAUGGUCUGGUCGACCCAAACUCAUCUUCUAUCUAAAUGUCUUUAACUCCUCUUUUCUUCUCAUCUUAUAACCAGCUCAUCUCUAAUGUUGUAACAUCUUCUGUCUAGUGAGGAGGGGGGGGGGGGGGGGGGGGGGGGGGGGGGGGUAAGAAUUUAAUAACCAUCAAUAAAAAUAAGGAUUCGGACAUGCCUAAGAAAUGGCCGAAGAAAAAUAUUAGUCAAAAAAAUAAAUCAAAUACAACUUUUAUAAACAGUUUUAGUUUUCGAUGAGUCAUUGGACAGGAGUUGGUACAAUGAAUAGUGCAGAAAUCGAAUGAACGCCAAUAGAGUUAGUAGUUUUGGGGAAAUUCAUCAAGUACGGGGGGAAAUCAAGACCCAAAGUGGAAGUGUCGAAGAAUAAGAAGCUAAAGAUGAUUUCUAAGUCGUUGGACGUGAGAUUGUUGUAAGGACUGGUAACAUCAUUUUGAUUUUUCAUUCAAGAGAGAAUGUGUUCUAGACUUCUAGUUAUUGAGAAACAAGACUUCAUAUAAUGAGGUGAAAGUCAACUUCGUCUUGGUUGGUUAUUGAGAAACAAGACUUCAAACAAAAUAUUUAAGGAUAAUCCUAAGAAAAAAAUCAGAAAUAUAACAUACAAAGAUCAAAAUAGCUAAAAUAGACUUCAUUAAAAUGGUAAAAGAUAUUUAUUAUAAAUAUUAAAAGUUAGAGUUUAGAUUGUGAGGGCAACGUAUUGAGGAGGGCUCUACCGUAUCUUUUGUUUCAUUUCUUCGGCUCAAUCCACCCCUGCAGAAAGUUGGUAUUCAAGAGACGGAAACUAUGUCAAGAAGGUGGAACACUCUGAUUUGCAGCGAAUCAAGCGUCUCCCCAGUGAGUUUACCUCCUGCAGGUAGAGAAGCGUAGGUGCAGCAGCUCUCUAGCUGCAUUGACACCCUUAGACGAGCGGUUUUGUUAGGACAUACUAAACCCACUUCUUUCAUCCCACACCACCGUUCUUUUCGGCCCACCAGACCCCGCAACUGAUGAGAAAGAAGGCCCUAUGGGGUAAAGGGGAAAGCGUGUACGUUUUCCUAGUCAGACCAAAGGUGGCUGAGAAUCUUAUGUCAAAAGGACUAACGACGAUGAAAGAGGAGAAGGAGGAGUUAUUCAAUUCUAAAGAUCGAUUUCCUGCUUCUGCAAAGGGCGGAAAAAGUCUCAUCUGCUCUCUUCAGUUAAGGUGUCCAGCUUGCUUGGCAGACUGAAAGAUAAAGGCAAGCAGCAACAUAGGGUACCUUGACCUGCUCGCUGGGGACAUAAGGAUUGACUUCUUCCGACCAAGAGAGGUAUGAUGCUUUUGAAUUCAUUGUAUUAAUUCCACUUCCUACUUGUGGUAUGCUCUUUAUGAGGCCCGAUCGCUAGGAAGAAGCAAGCCUAUUCCAGGUCACUGUGUCAGUCCAGAGCAACUAGCAGAGAAAAAGAAACUAGAACGAGAACCACAGGGCAUUCUAAGCAGCAGACAUCUAGGCAAAUACUUCCAUGUUACAGCACGUACUAUACAUAUUCUAGAAAUAACAGACAAACUAGCAACAAUACGAGGCAUUCACUACGCUCACUGAAACUACAGCGGUAACCAGAGUAACGAACUCAAAGAGACCAACAGGAAACAACAGGAUACUUUGAGACAUAUACUUGGGAUUGAUGAAAUUACUCGACCAAAAAGAGAGGUCCAACAUAAUGAAAACGAAAAGUACGUUCGGGCAAAGUCUUGUAUGAGAAUCACUACUCCGGGUCUUUAUUCAUAGUCACGAAUAAGCUUCUCCCAAGUCCUCUCAGCAAUUCAAAGAUGAGACUGACUUCUAUUAAGUAAUCGGAUAAGACAGAUGCGCGGGCACGAGCGGUCUGGUGUCCGAGUCAAUUGGUCAGACGAUGACUACUUCAAUUAUUAGAUUAGUAUUAGCCGCCUUUCCCGGAAUAAUACGUUUCGGCAAUGUUACCUACCAAAUAAAAAAAAAGGUCUGCUAGGAAGGGUGUUGGGGUUAACAUUUAAAAAUAUAUAAUUAUAAAUUAAUUUAAAAUUACUAUAUCUAAAAUAAUUUAAGGGGGGGGGGUUAACAUUUAAAAAUAUAUAAUUAUAAACAAAUUUAAAAUUUGAUAUUAAAAUUACUAUAUGUAAAAUAAUUUAAAAAAUUGAGUUUCAAAAAAACAUCAAAACAAAUUUGAAAAAAUAAAAAGUUUGAAAUUGAAUAAAGUUUUUGUGAACAUACAAAAUUUGUAUUUUAUCUUUGUAUUGUUAAAUUAUUUAUUUAAAUAGUUGUUUAUAUAUAUAUUAUUUUUUAUUUAUAGCUUUAAUAAAAUUUCUGUUGUCAAAAAUUGAAUUUAAAAAGAAAAAUAAUAUAAAAUUUUGAAUUGAAUACGGCUUUUUUGAGCAUAAAAUAAAAUUUAUACUUUCUAUUUUCUUAUUUAUUAUAUUUAUAUAUCUAUAGAGUAUAGUUAUUAUUUAUCUAUUUAUGAAAUACUUUUUGGUCAAUUUUUUUUUUGUUUGAAAGUUGGGCUUAUUUGCCAAAUAAUAAAAAAAAAUGAAAAAUUAGAUUUUGGAAGAAAAAGUAGAGAAAUAGGAAAAGAAAGUAAAAAAGAGGAGAAAAUUUUGGUUAGUUAGUGCAUUUAUGUUUUUUUCAUGUAUAUUGAGUGCAAUUUCCUUUGAAAGUUUUUCCUUUAAAAUAAUAUGGGGUUCUUGGUUUAGGGAAUGGAAACAAAAGAAAGGAAAGGAAAUAUGUUAAAGAAAUACGCUGUCGUAAUGGACUUUCAAAGUCUAAAGAGACGUCAAAGUUGUCGGCCACAUGCACUCGUAGACUGUAUUCUUCCACUUAUGCUUUUUCUUUGUUACAAGAUGUCCUUACAAUAUUUCCAAUGUAAAACUCUAUUUUUCCUUCAAAAUUGAAUAAAAAUAAAAAUCGAGUAAAAUUAUUCCAACCUUACUCUAUUUCUUACUUCAUAAUAGAAUGAUAAACAAACAAAAAAUAAAUUACUCCAUUUAUGAAAUAAAUUUCAUUAUAAAGUGAGAUAUAGAGUUGGGUUGGAGCAUUCCUUACUCCAUAUUCACUUUUACUCCAUUUUAAAAGAAAAAAUAGAGUAAGGAUUGAGAUACCCUUAAUAAAUGUAAUGCUUGUUGCAAAUACGACUCAAAACUUAAAGUCAAACACCAAACUAAUUCUUGAUUUUGUUAAAAUUUUAUUUGUUAAAUUUAUCCCAAAAGUUUGGAUUAUCCUUGAAAAUGUCAUAAAUUUCUUCUUUUUUUAAAUAAAUAUUUUACUCUAUCAUUCUCAUCUUCAUCAAGUAUUUACAAUAUUGUCAUUGCCAUGAAUACACAACCACCAUAAACAACCAAUUUGAAGUUUUUAAUGUAUCUAAAAAAAUGAUUUUUAGUCAUUCUAUUUUAUUUCUUAUGCACUAAAACAUUUCUUUCACUUUUUCUCUACGUUCAUCCAAAAAAUCUCAAGAUUUUGAUUCGAAACUUUUUAAAGUUCAAAGAGCCAUUCAAGCUUAUGAUUAUUGGUCAUUAACAAGUAGGUCAUUUUGGUGGUGAAGUUUUUUGUGGUUGGAGAAGCUAAGCAAGUUAUCUCACUGUCACUGGUUGAAACUAUGAAAUCAAUUAUUUUUUCUAGAUUUGUCUAUCAGAAGACUUCCGUAUAAGUCUUCACAUCGGAGAAGAUUUACACGAAAGUCUUCUGACCAAUGCAUAUGUUAGUUUUCCAAUUGACUUUAUGUGAGUUUUUAGAGACGAUUUCUCUAGAAGUUUUCUAACUUUUCUGUGUUAACAAAAAACACUAAAAAUACCAGAGAAGAUUUCCAAGUAAGUCGUAUAUGAACAACAUGUUAGUUUUACAAUUGACCGGAUUGCUUCAGAAAUUUAACUUUCUCUAGACGACUUACAGGGAAGUCGUCCGCUAGAAAAUUUCCAUGUAAGUCUUCCGAACUCUCUGUGGAAGUCAUCUCACUGUCGAUGAAAGUUGUCUUAGGUUACUUUUGCAACUGAACAUAAAAAUUAAAAUAUUUAUUUUAAUUAGAUGACUUACAUUUAAGUCUUUCGGGUGACUACUUACACGAAAGUCUUCCAAAAUUUUAUUUCGAGAUUCUGGUCAAACCUUGGUUAUCAUAGAAGACUUUCGUGUAAGUCAUCUGCCGAAGACUUACUUGGAAGUCAUACUAAUUAAUAUAAAAUAUAUAAUUUUAUUUUACAAUUUCAAAAGUAAGAUGAGAUUACUUACAUGGAAGUCGUCUAGUUAAAAUUAAAUAUUUAAAUUUUAUUUAUUGGCAGAAGGAUUCCUUUUAAGCCGUCUAGAGAAAGUCAAAUAUCUGACAUAAUCCGGCCAAUUGCUUAACUAACCUGUUCUAGACGACUUACCGGGAAGUCUACUCUAGUAUUUUUAAUAUUUUUUUAAAAAACAAAAGUAAGCCCAUAUUUACAAAGAAAGACAUACAAAGAAGUCUGUUGUAGAGUAGACUUCUCUAGAAGUAUUCCUUUGUAAAUUUUCAAUUGCAAAAAUGACCUAAAUCGAAGACUUCGUAGAAGUCGAAUGGCACUUCUACGUUAAUGUUUAAUAAAACUUUCAUCUUCUAUAAAAUUAUAAAGACUUUUUAACAUUUUUUUUGUUAAUUCAUGUACAUUAGUCAAUAUUGGGGCUCCUGGAUGAAAUUCAUAACUUAAUUGAUGAUAAUAAUGAGGUUAACAAUAUUCAUAUGUUAGUUUUUGUAAAGCUUGUAUUUUCAACUUUAAGAUAUGUUUUUAAACUUUCAAAAGUGUUAAAAAAAACUUCAAAAAUAUCAAGUCGUAUGAUUUAAUUUGUCUUCUUAGAUCAUAAUAUAUACUUUUUAACUUUCAAUAAUUUGAAAUAUCAAUUUUCACUUAAAAUUUGAGUUUUCCGCUUAAAUUUUAAUUUUCCGCUUAAAUUUUAAUUUUCCGCUUAAAUUUUAAUUUCCCGCUUUAAAAUUUUCGCUGGAAAUUUAAGUCUUCCCAGAAGUUUUCUGAGAAGAAGUCUUCCGGAAGACAUCCCAGAAAACUUCCUAGUGCAUUAAAUGUUUGAAGACUUUCAUGGAAGUCUUCCAAAUCUGUCUCAGAUCUGAAAAACCUGCAUAUACAAAAGCAUUCAAAUAACUUCAAAACAUAGAAAAAAUUCAAAAUUACAGUAAGAACUUAAAACAAUCAAAAAAGUUUUCAAAAAGUAGCUUUAAACAAUAAGAGGUUACCAAAUGAAAAAAAAAUGAUUUAUAGAUCUAUCUUUAAAGGAGUGGAAGAUGAAAACCAUGUAAUGAAAAACUUGCAAAAACAAAUAAAUCAGUAAGAAGACAUGAAAUAACAAUAAAUUGAUAUAAAUUUUGGUGUUUUUAAGUUCAAAGAGAUUAGAGAGAGGUUGGAGAGUUUUAGAAUAAGAAACAUUACAUUUUUGUGGCAGCCAUUUGAGAGGAAUAUAUAUAAUGUGUAAAUUUUCUUUAUAUAAAAGGAGACAAAAAUUCCAAUAAUGUUAAAUAUUUUCGAUUCAAAAGACUUUCAAGUAAGUCUUCUAAUCCUAAAAGAUUUACUUGAAAGUCUUCUAGAAAUUUACUAUUCGCCUAGAAGACUUUAAUAUUUUUGUGGGAAAUUAAAAUAUUUUUAGCGGAAAACUAAAAUAUUUUUAGCGGGAAUUCAAAUACUUUCAAGGAAGUCUUCUACCCAUAAAAUACUAUUCACCAGAAGACUUUCUUGAAGUUGCCUAGACCCUAAAUAUAAACCAUAAACUCAAAUAACUAACUAAAUAGAAGCAAACAGUUUAUUAAACUUAAAAAGUGUUUAAUAUACAAAAAACUAAACACAUAUAAGUCAAAAUUUAAUUUUCCAGAAAAAGUUAACUUUCAUAAUCUAAACCUAAGAAAACAUAUAAUACUACAACAUAUGUUACCAAACUCUUAACCAAAAAAUACCAUGACACACUGCAUUCAUUUAUCUAUGUUAAAAACAAUUCAAUUUUACUAUAUCUUAGUUUAUAUCAUUUACAAAUAUUUAUAAUUACAUGAUUUCAAUUUUAUCUCCAUCAAAAUAUUUUUUAUAAAAUUUAUAAAUUACUUUUAAGAUGUACUAUAUGAGAAGACUUUCUAUAAGUUUUUCAGAAGACUUAGGGAACCUCAAAAUACUUAAAAACCUCAGAAGACUUUACAGAGAUAUAUUCGUAAAAAUGAAUUCUGUUUUUUUUUGUCAUAAGGAGCUGGUUUUAAUUUCAAUAGAUUUUGUGUUAUUUUUGUAUUUGAUUCAAGUUUGAGUAUACUUUUGUGGUUAAAAUCAAGUUUUGAGUGAUAUUUGGCAAAUUUCCCAUAAAUAAUUACCUAAAAUCCUCAUUUAUUAAGUCAAAUUUUUAAUUUUCUAAUAAUUUUUAGUUAUAUUCUUACUAAAAUGAUGAUAUAAAUGAUACAACUGUUUGUUGACAAAAAAAAUGAUACAACUGUUUGAUAAAAAAAAUGAUACAACUAUUUGAUUUUUUCUAUCAUGAAACCCAAAGAUAACAUGCUCUAAAGCUGCAUGUAUUUUUUUUCUCUGCAUCACGGUGUUUCUUCUUUUUCCUCUUGUGAUGCUUUAACUUAAUUUGACUUGAGCGAUAUUAAAUUAGAUAACUCUACCCAUGUUUCCACUAGCCACUGAAAAAUAAUAAACAAACUGGGGAAGUAUAUACGUAUAUAUAUAUAUAUAUAUAUAUAUAUAUAUAUAUAUGUGUGUAAAUGGAAGAGAAACUAGAUUUGUGAAUGUAGAUUAGAGAAGCAGCAUUAUGAGUCAAAACAACUCACAAGUCUCGACAAUUCUAAUUGUUUUGCUCCUUCUAUGUCCUGUAUUUCUCAGUCAGUUACAAGCUCUUUCUGUUGGAUUAACAUUACACCGCAAAAUCAGUGAGUUCUUAUUUUUUAUAUGUAUAUGUGCGACGCUCUAAUUUGGUUUCUCUCUAGAGUAUAUAUAUAGUUUCUUCCUCGAUUUUAUGUUUGUUCAUUACAAAAAAAUAAUCAAAUUACCUUAUGAAUUAAGUUUGUAAAAUAGUUCGUCAAUAAGAAUGUAGUUGAAAAUCUGCAUGAUAAAUUACGAUGUAGUCCGUGGAUCUGUGUUACAGUAACAUGAUUCGUCAUAUUUUUUUUAUCUGCUGAUUCGUCAUCUAAACUUUAGUUAAUCAUUUUUAGAAAAUCGAUGAAAGAAUGUUUAUAAGUUAUGAUUAUAUUCCGUUGUUAAUUUUUGUGACUAAUCAAGAUUUGUGUAUUGUUUAGAUAGUUAGUUUGAAGGUGUUGGUACGACUAUUUAUUAGUAAUGGAAUGUGUUAUGAUCACUGCAGUAGGAGAAAAAGAUGGAAUGCGACAAAUUGUAUACCAAAGAAAGGUACGAGUAACGCCAAGUGGCUCAAGAAGAGGCCCAUCAAAGGGUCGUCCUCCAGGCUCCCCAAAGCUAUGAUCUCCUCGUUAGCUUUAUCAUAUACUAUAUUAGGGUCUAUCCGCGCUUUGAUUUACAUGUGAUAUAUCUAACUAUAUAAUUGUAUACUUUCGUUGUAUUUUAUGUUCGUUUUUGUAAAAGCAGUGUAUUCUGAUGUUUAUGGUUUCAAAUAGUAUUAGGGUUUGUAGGAAUUAUGUUUGAGGUGAAUGUGGACUUUCUUAUUGUAAUUUCUUUUUAUAAUUAUAAUCCAUAAUUUGUUGGUUAAUUGUGGGUUUCUCUAAUUUGGACUCUUAAGUUUGUGGACUGUAUAUUCAGCACUUGUCUCAAUCCCAAUUUGCAUGUGAAAGUAUAAGGUGCAGACUGCACACCUACAAACUAAUUCGAAGUAUUUUAGGUUGCAAGUAAAGUGUGCAUUACGAUUUGGUAUGUCUUUUGUUUUUAAAAAGAUUGUUCCUUGUUGUUUUAAAAGAGACUAGGUUAAGACCUGCGCCUUACGCGGAAAGAAUAUUAUAUAUAAAUUAUUUUGAAGUAUUAUAUAUUUUUUCAUAUUAUGAAAUAAUAAAAAUAUUGAAUAAUUCAAAAUUUAGUAACUAUUACAUAUAUAAUUAAAUUUGUACAAAUACUAAAAUAAAUUUUAUUUAUUCAGACAAACAUCUUUUUCUAUUUUAUAUGUUAUAAAAUUAAGUUUAAAUGAUAUUAAUAUAGAUAUAUAGUACAUUUUUAAUAUUGAAAUCUGUUAAAAAAUAUUUUAUACUCAUAUUAUUUUUGAUUAUUUGUAUUUCUUUAUAACAAAAAUUUUAAAUCAAUGAUAACAAUAAAAUAUUUAUGGGAUGUUUAAAAGUUUUAAUAAUUAAUAAUUUUAAAAACAUUCAUUGCAAAGUUUAAAAUCUAAAUAUUAAGUUGUGAAUAACUGUUCAAACUGUUUAUCAAAAAUUUUCAAAUCAAAUUCGAAAUUAAAAUACUUAUGUAUUUUAUAUGGUAUAUAAUUUUCUUAAAAAAUAUAUUAAUAUGCAUAUAUAUAAUAUUUAUUAAAUAAGACUUCCUAUUUAUGUAAUUUCAUAAUCAUUUGUAUUUUGUUAUAUCAUAAAUUUUAAAUCAUGGAUCACAAAAAUUUCAGUGUGAGAUUUUUAACAACUUUAUUCAUUUAUAUUUCUUUUUUAAAAUUCAAAAUAUAACAUAUACAAAAAAAUCUAAUUUUUAUUAUAUAGUUAAUGUGGUUGUUUAAUUUAUUUUAUAAUGAAUUAAAAUGAUAAAGAAUAGACUGAUUUUUAUCAAAUCUUUAUUAUUCAAAAUCAUUAAUUGUCAUAUAUAUACUUUAGCCACAUUAGGUAAUUCCGUGGUUUUUAUUUAAGGAAACAAUGAAGAAUAUUUAUGAUUAAUUUAUGGUUAGUUUAAUAAAAAUCUUAUUAUAUAUUUAUAUGGACCAACAUAUUUUUCUAAGAAUUCUAAGAAUGCUUGUUGUGAUGACAUGUGGUUACAAAAAUAUGUUGUAAUGUUUCUCUUUUAAUAUAUAGGGAAUUAAGUUGUACCUAUUAAUUUGAAGCAUAAGGACAACGCACGUGGGCGAGGAGAAUUUAUUCAUUGAAAUGAAUGUAACAUCCGGUGGGAAAGUGUAAAAAUAGAAAAUCAAUUAAAAAAAAUAUGCUAAACGGAAUGUAAUACAUAGUUCUUACGGGUUCGAAAGUAAAAAAAUCUAGCAGUUCUACGGAGAUGCCAGACCUCUUAAAGAUUAUAAAUUACUAGGAUAAGACAUGCGCCUUGUGCAUGAUAACAUAUUUAUUAAAAAACUUAUAUUUUCAUAUUGUAAAAUCUGAUGAUUUUUGAAUACAUGUGUUCUUGUGGUCAUAUAUUUGAUAUUUAUGUUUGUCUCAAUAUAAAAUAAUUAAUUAACUAUAAAUAUAUGGCACACAUAGAAAAAAUAUAGAAGCCUAAAUCAAACAAUUAAAAUGUGAUAUCAUUGAUACUCCUAUAAUCAUAAAGUAAGAGUUGUGAAAUUUUUUGAUGGUGUGUCUAAGGAAAAACUCAACCAUAUAUAUAUAUAUAUAUAUAGUAGGCAUAUGUAGUUUUCAGAUUGUUUGAAAAUUUGAAAUAUUUAGCAUGAUACUUCCUCCGUUUCACAAAGAAUGUCACUUAGACACUUUUCACACAUAUUAAGAGACUUAUUAAAAUGCAUUUACGUUUUCAUUAAUAUCACAUAUCUAACCAAUAGUAUUUUAGAUAAAUCGAUUUAUUUAUAAAAUUAAUGUAUUUUGCAAUUAAUUUUUAGCUGAAAAGUUGUAUAAAUUGCAUUGGUAUUGUAGAAUGACACUCUUUGUAAAACAAGAAAAAUGAGCUAAAAUGACAGUUAAUAUGAAACAGAGGGAGUACGUUACACCAAUAUUUAUGUAAAUUUUCAAUAACUACCACAAACAUAUUUGGCAAGUUAUUUUCAAUGGUCGAAAUUAUAGACUUGGUGACAAAUUAUAUUAUUAUCUUUAAUUAAACUUACCAUAUAGAACUUCAAAAUUGUGUACCAAGCUUAAAAAUUCGGUGGAAACAUUAACUUGGUGGAAAAUUUUCUUAUUUAUUUAAACAGCCUGGUAUAAAAACAAUUUAUUUAAACUUACCAAAAGAGCUUGACUCUAAAAUUGUGUAUCACAAAAAUUUGGUUCAAAUUUUAAUAUUUUUAAUUUUUAUUGUCAUCUAACCAUAAUAAUACCGACAGUUUACGAUUGAUCCUCCUUCGGCUCAAUUGAAAUUAAAAAAACAUUUUUGCGACCUCAAUUAUAGUCUAUAGAUAAUACUAAUUAAGUAGUAGUUGUUAAACAUAUUGUAUUGACAAAUCUUUCUAAUUAAACAUAUUGUAUUGACAAAUGUAAGAAUUAUAUAUGAUCAAAUUGUUUUUAUAUGUCUACAGUUUUUGAUUGUUUAUAUAGUCAUUUAUAUGUUGGGCUGAUACAUUUGGAUAUUUUAUUUUGCUAACUUAUCAGUAAAUAAAAUUUAUAUAUUUUCAAUUUUGAAGUUACACUAAUUUUCAGAAGAUCAGAUUUUUACUUUCUUUUUGACAACAUAAGAUGAAAAAUUAAAAUAUUGAAAAGACAAUUAUAAAUUGGAUUAAGCUUAUAAUUUGAAGUAUAGUAUGGUUAUGUGCCACAUUAAGACAACUUAAAAUUUUGCAGUCCUAAUAGUAUUAUACGUAAGGCCCAAAUAUAGAAAGAUGAUAUUAUUAUUUGUUUACAACUGAUACUUUUUUUUAGGAUGAAAGUGAGGUUAACGUCAUUAACUACUAAGAAAAGUCAUUAUUAAUGUUUUCCUAGACUACGAAAAACAAUUACGCAGGUGCCAAAGCUUUUUCUUAAUCUUCAAUAUAAAUUUCAUAAUUUAAGUUUUAAGGAAUUGUGUUGCAACGGAAAAUGUUUGAUAUAUAAGUUUGUUUGGUAAUAGAAAAGAAACUCAAUUUCUAUAUUACUCUUUAUAUCAAUUUAUGUAGGCGAGGAAAGCCUGAGAACCGAACAAUAUUCGUCUUUUUUUUAUUAACAAAAUAAUUUUGAAUAUUUAUGUCUCUUUCCUAUUCUUUUUAUCAAAGCUUCUCUUUGCUAUUAAUAAGAAAACCAACACUUAAAAAAUUAUUACUUUCCAAUUUAUAGCUGAAGCAUGCAAUAUUUAGGCCAUAAUAUAUAGUAAACUUUGAUUUAAAUUGUUGUCUAUAUUAUAUAAACUUAAAAUUACAAUUUUUUAAACGUUUAUUUAUUAAUAUAUAGGGAUAGUUAGUCGCUACUGAAUCAUUUUAUAAAUAAAGAAACUCAAAUAUAGUGAUUUAAUUAGCAAUAUUUUUUCAGUCACAACGAAAAACGUAUAUCUGGUUAUUACCAAAAACCUUUUAAAAAGUUAUAUAUUUCCUAUAUUUAGCAUGAUCUCCUUUCCAAAAGCAUUUUUACUGCAUAUAAAUCACAUUAAUUAUCCAUCUUUUCAAGUAAGUAAGGGGACGACUGGUUUUCCCGCUACCACACGCAAACGCAGCUUUUGCGGUUUGUAGCGGUUGUCGGUGGUUUGCAACAAUCACUCAAAUCGCUCUAAACCGCUUCGAACCGCUCUGAAUCUCAUAAAUUCAAAAGCUGGCUCCAGCUAGCGUUUGCGGUUGCGGGCGGUUGCGGGAGGAUAAAUUUUUUUUCUUUUUUUAAAACAAUAUAUAUACAAAAGUAAAAAUAUUUAAUAAAAAAUUUUAAAUUGAAAUUAUGAAAAUAUUAAAAUAUAUCUAUUAUAUUUUAAUUAAUAUUAUAAAAUUUUAUAAUAAAAACAAUUUCAAUAAAUUUUCAAGAAAGGAAAAGCCCUCCUAGCCAUAGAUUCCGAUUAAAACCAUCACUCGUCCGCAAGAAUCAUGCUGGAAAUGUGCGAGAUGAGGGGCUGACUGUUGGGGUCAAAAACUGUAAUCUCGAAAUCAAUGUCCAAGAUUGCAUCUCUUAAGGAAACUUUCUCGAAAUAAUUUCAGAAAAGUCAUAAGUAGAAAACUCCCAAGUAACAAAACGACCGCAUCAGCGUGCGUCCACCCUCGCAGUUGGAUCAACCGCAUCCAACUCGCCAUAACACGAGUUAGGUCGAUCUCGUCUAACUCACCUGAUGGCGAGUUUGAUCAACCUCGUCCAACUCGCCUUAUGGCGAUUUGGAUCAACCUCGUCCAACUCACCUUAUCCGACUCGCCAUCAGGCGACCAGGAUCCGUCUUGAUUAACUCAAUCUUAGCUUCUCCUUCGGGCCUUGAUUGAACUGUCCCUUUUUUUGUCUCGAUUGGAGUUGCCGUUUAAACUUUACGAUAAAAUUAUCGAAGAUUGGUUUUUUCGUAUAAAUUCGAACCAAUCGUAUAAAACGAUAACGGUCAACUUAACACCAUAAGUUAUAUCGGCUAUACAAUUGGCUUGAAUUAUUUCAUAAAACCAACGUCGUAACGGAGAUUUUCGAAGGAGUUGUAAAAACACUUAAGUAAAAAAAUGGCUCGAAAAGGGUCUAAAACGCGGCAAAAGACCACUUACGAUUUUGGAUGAGCAUGAACCCGAAACUACUAUAACGGUUUAUCUGAUAUUUGCAGGAGAAGAUAAAUGUCAAGUUUCAAAGGAUAAACAUGAAGAUCGAAGAAAAAUGAAAUAUUUCCGCGAAGGGGUAAACUCGACCCGUGGGCAGAAAAGGAAAGGAUGACCGACUUAGAAGGCAUAUAUAAGGGGAGCCAAGGUAAGGAGCACAAGGACGAUUGUCUUAGAAUCUUAGAACUCUAUGCACUUAGAAAAUUUAGGCAUUAUUCUUGACAUGUGUUGUUUUAUGACUGGCACACGAUUACUAGACGAACUCGCACAAGCAGUUCGAUCUUUUGUUCCACUCUUUCAGUUGAACUGCGUUCGGUUUAAUCCUUGAAUGGGGUACGUAAGCAUCCUUUCAUAAGGUUCAGUCCGAAAUCAAUCAAAACUUUUUUCGUAUUUUUUCGUCUUUUGUUAUCGAGCUGCGGUAAUUCGCUGACAACUCUUGCGGCCGAAGUUUUUAUAAUCUUUUGUAAUGAUCGCAACGUUCUUACGUGGAUUCAAAAUAAGAUGUAUUUUUUUUCUAUAAAUUCGUUUUGUUAUCUUUUCAUAUUUUCUGAAUUUAUUAGAUCAGUUGUCGUUGGCUCUCGCAUAGAAUACGGGAUCUCAGAAAAAGUUAGGAUUUUUUGACUUUCCUUCAUUUACGGAAAUCGACGGUGUAAAUUUCGGUUCCCACACCAAUCACCAUUUUUAUUUGAUGUACAAAUAAGUUUAGUUGAAAACCCAAAGUUUUUUGUGAUACAAAAACCAAUUUGAUAGUUUAAUAUGCUUAUUAAAAAGUUUUGUGGUUUAAAUUGUGAGUGAAUGCCAUUUUAAAUUUUCUUUUUGCUAUUUUGGACGAAUAUUUAAGGUCGUUAAGGGCUUUAGUCUUGUCGAGAAAAACGUGUCUCUCCACCUGAUUAGGCUCGAUUCUUAGGUUUUUCUUUUUCUAACCAUCCCAUCCCAUCCCAUCACAAAAUUUGAUCUUUUUAUUCAAAAUUAACAUAUACAUAUAUCCCCAUUUAUUCAAGAUAUGUAUUUCCCCAAAGGAUUUAUAAUCUCUGUAUUCUAUAAGAAUAUCAGUCACUUUCCUGCUCUACCUUAUUCAUCAUUAUUUCCUCUUGAACUAAGAGAGAUUAUGUUAGAAACAAAAUCAAAAAUAAGUUCAAAAAGUAACCAACAUCAGACUAAAUCAAGUGUGAAUAAUCUACAUAUAGUUUUUUUCUUAACGAACAACCUCACACUCUUUGCGGCGGUGGUGGAGUCGCCGCAAGAUCGGUCGCAGGAGCAUAAGCUAGGAAGAGGAAAACAAAACUACGAUUUUAAAGAAGUUGUUAAUUUUAGAGGACAAGACGUUUUGACCGUUCUCUACCGAGGGAGAACCGAAACUCGAGUGACAUAGCUAACAGUGAUGAAAUCUCCAAAAUUUCUUUUCCCGCUAUAGAAAUUUAUUUUAAAUAUAGGGAAAUUUUAUAGAAUAAUUUUUUUUUAAGUUUUUGUUACAAAAAAUAACUCUCAAUGAAAAAAUGACCAAAUUAAAUUUUAUUAAAGGAUAAAAAUAUAUUUUUGCCCUAUGUUUAAUUAAUCUAAACUUAGAGCCUCACUGGUUCAAACGCAGCGGUUGCAGUUGCGGUUGCGGGAGUUUGCAGCUAUGGAUGGUUACAGUUUCUAGCGGUUUUAAGAGAUUUGUACGACUGGUUCUGCAGUUAGAAAUUGGUGCGUUUGCGGGAUACUUGUGACUGGUUAACUACCAAAUACAUCAGCGGUUUAAUAAUAAAUUAACAAUAUUUACAUUUAUAUAAUUAUAAAAAUAUAAAAAAUCAUAAUAUUAUAAUAAAUAUGAAAAUUCUAGUUAGAAAGUUAUAGUUUUAAUUUUUUUUUAAAUUAUAGAAAAUAUUUUUAUUUUAAAAUUUUAUAAUAUUAAUUAAAAUAUAAUAGAUAUAUUUUCAUUUUUUUUAGUAUUUUUAUAAUUUCAAUUUAAAAUUUUUAUUGAAUAUUUUUUUUUGUAUUUAGAUGGUUUCUAAAAAAAGAAAAAAAAAGGGAUCCUUCCGCAACCGCCCGCAACCAGCUUUUGAUUUUAAGAGGUUCGGAGUGGUUUGAAGCGAUUUGUAGCGAUUUGUGUGAUUGUUUCAAAAUGCUGUGAACCGCUAUCAACCGCAAAAGCUGCGUUUGCAGGUGGUAGCGAAAAAAACCAGUCAUGCUCUUAUAGGAUUUACAGUUAAGGGGUAGGAGUUUUGGGUUAAGGUUUCAAAAUUUUUAAAUUAAAAUUAAAAUUUUCAAAAUAAAAAAAACUAUUUUGAUCUUUUUUUUUAAAGUUAUUUUCGUGAUAAAAACUUAGAAAAAGCUAUUUGAGAGAAUUGCAUUCAAAUAUAAGGGUUGUUUGGGAAGAUAUAAGAAAAUAUGAGGGUGUCAUUAGAAAACAAAUAGGGAUUUUCAAAUUAGAAUAAUUUAAGGGCUUUGGUGUUGUCGAGAAAAACGUCUCUCUCCACUUGAUUAACGCUCGAGUCUCAGGUUCGUCUUUUUCUCGGCUCAUCCCACUGAUCGAUAUGGGUCAAAAUUGAUUUAUGAUGCAAACAUAUGUGUAAGGUAUGUGCAGAUGAAGCGCCUCAAUUUCUCGGAUACUAGUCUGCAGAAUUCUCCCUCAGAAGAAGUUUCGACGAAGAAGAACAAGAACAAGAAAAAGAAAUUGGCAUCUCCGGUGAUCAAACGGAUCUGGAACGAGGACGAUGAGCUCUCUAUCUUAAAGGUUCAUUUCAUCGACUCUACUCCUUUCCAUUAGAUCACCCUCUUCUCACUCGCUGUGGAUUUAGGGAUUGGUGGAAUACAGAGUGAAGACAAGGCACGAUCCAAGUUUCGAUUGGGACGGUUUCUUCUGCUCCGUGCAAGGUUCCAUCCAUGUGAGAUUCUCCAAGGAGCAGCUUUUUAGUAAGGUCAGGAAGCUGAGAAGGAAGUUCGUUCUUCACAUGGAGAGAAUCGAUCGUGGGGAAGAUCCGCUCUUUACUAGGCUCACUGACUCUCAAGCCUUUGGAUACUCCAACAUGAUCUGGGGCCUAAACCAAGCUGAAGUUGCUGCUAACGCCGGAGGCACUGAGAAAGCACCAGGAGAUACUCAAGUGAAGGAUUCAUCUUUUGUUUCUUGAUUUUGUUAAUAGUUAAAACUGAUUUGUGUAUGGUUUGCUGAUCAAUCAGGAGGAUGAACACUUAGAUAAUGCUGGACAUGUAAAUUACAAUGGGGUUGAAAGUAGUAAGCUUGAUGGCAAAGAAUCUGAAUUUGCUAAUGGAGGCAUGGAGAGCGUAAUGCAGAUCGAGAGUGACGUAAGUGACUCAUUUAUCGUUUUUUUGUCAAGUUCUGUUUCCAAGUCUAAAGUUUUGCUAUCGCAGUAACAGUUAUGAGUGUUUGUGUUGAAUCAGGAGAAUGGCUUUAGGGAAAAUGGGCGAGUAAGUAAUGAUGAACCUGUAAAUGAAAACGGGGCGGAGAAAGGUGAGGUUGACGGAAAAGAGACUCAUGAUGAUGAGUUGCGCGUUGUUGAAGAUGCGUUUGAGACCACGAUUUUGCAAGGUUUAAGUGAUUGGCAGAGGAAGUUACAGCUUAAGAAGCUGAUGAUGAACCUUGGAACGGAGAAAAGAAAAGAGUUGAGCAAUGAAUGGAAAGCGUUAUGUUCUGAGGAAGUAAAAUUGAAAAUCAAGAAGCUUAGGUUUACCGUAAAGCUUGUAGAGGCAGCAAAUGAUGGAUGAAACUAGGCCAUUGCAUCAUUUUUGUUGUAAUGGUGUUGUUUAGUUAGAGAGUUG